rnacentral:rRNA from 1 species
AUUGAACGCUGGCGGCAGGCCUAACACAUGCAAGUCGAAUGGUAACAGGAAACAGCUUGCUGUUUCGCUGACGAGUGGCGGACGGGUGAGUAAUGUCUGGGAAACUGCCUGAUGGAGGGGGAUAACUACUGGAAACGGUAGCUAAUACCGCAUAACGUCGCAAGACCAAAGAGGGGGACCUUCGGGCCUCUUGCCAUCAGAUGUGCCAGAUGGGAUUAGCUAGUAGGUGGGUAACGGCUCACCUAGGCGACGAUCCCUAGCUGGUCUGAGAGGAUGACCAGCCACACUGGAACUGAGACACGGUCCAGACUCCUACGGGAGGCAGCAGUGGGGAAUAUUGCACAAUGGGCGCAAGCCUGACGCAGCCAUGCCGCGUGUAUGAAGAAGGCCUCGGUUGGUUAAAGUAACGUUUUAC